UUGUGGAUCAGCCGACGUGUGCCAGCGCCAUGGAUGACAGCGACAGGGUAAACUAUGCCUGUGUAAGUAACCAUAGCAUGUGCUAUGAUGGCUAUGGCACACAGGAUCUUGGAUAUAUCUGCAGUUGCGAUGAUGGUUAUGGGGGCAAUCCAUAUAUACCCAAUGGCUGCUCACGUGAUAAAGGUAAAUCCAUGCAAUCAAUAAAUUAAAGGUUACUUUUCUACUACUCAAUCUAAAUAUUUUCUCAAUCUGACCAUAGUAGAGGGUUUAGGUCCACAUUUCAGUUAGAUAACCCAUGGUAAAAAGGAGAUACAAAUCUGAAAUGUCAGUGCUAAAGACAAAAAAGUAAUCCUAAAAAUAUGAUGUUUUCAGAUAGGUAGGCAUAUGGAUGUCUAGACUGCAUUUAUGCAAAUAACAUGCAUAUAUGUAGAGUGGCCAUGAAGGGUACUCCGUUUCAUGGCCAAUCUCGAUAUGCAGCUCUAUGUUUGCAUCAUCAUUAAAUGCCACUAGUAGACAAACUGACAUGCGGUUGAUCCCACCUUGUCCGUGACACUUUGAUGGAUUUUGCAAAUACUGAAUGUUAUACAGAUGAGAAAAUAGGAUUUUUGCCAGCCGAAACAGUGGGCUUCACAGAUUUGCCAUCCCAACCAUUGGUUUCGCAGAUAUGCCAGCCAAAACAUAUGCUUCUUUCACAUUUUCUCUAUUUCUCUCCUUUUUCCUUUUUAUCCUCGUCUGAGCCACUAGAAAGGACAAAUGUGCAGGAACAUCAACGUACCUAGUACCUGGAACUGAAUCGACAACCAUCGGCUAUUCUAUUCCUCUCAUCGCUGCCUUCGUCAAGAGUCGAGACGCUUCGUCUCCCGCUACUUGCCCAGAAGGUUGCCGACCUCCCAACCCCAUGGAGCCCACUGUUUCCGCUGGAAAAAUUCCAAUUUUUUUGAACUAAUGAAGAAUGAUGUUGUGUCCUUGUUUGUUAAAAGGGAAGUGUUACAUAUGGAACUAGUCCAAAAAACUGCAUAAAAUAUUCACAAACCUCUUAGGCAGAUGUAGCCAAGCACUCCAAAAGGCCUUGAGAUUUAUUGAAAUGGCUUGUAACGAUUAGAAGAUAUGCUAGCUGAUUUGAAUCUUAAAAACUGUUCUAAUCUCAAGGCAUGUCUUACAAGAUAUACUGGUUAAGCACCAGUCCAGAGUUCUUUUUCAUGAAUCCAACUCAAUGCAAUGUUCUUUGAAAUUAAUAGAAGCUUUCAUUGUCGAAGAAAAUAACUGCACACAUAGGUAAAAGAAUAUUGAUAAAAAAAAAACUUUGCAUGUACUCUACUUCGUCAGUCAGGUUGUGAGCGAGCUCUUCUAUAUGCUUUUGUAAGCUGAUAACCCCAGUAGGAUGUAUCAAACCUAUUUCCUUUCUACAAAAUCCAGAACAAUCCUUGAUAAAGAUGUACUUCUUCAGUCUUUCUGCCUACUUCAUCAGCCAUGAUGUUUGUGAGCAUCAUAUAGAUUAGUUGUAUUGCAUCACCAUGAUUGCUCAAAUGCCUAAACUUUCUUAGAUGCUGAAGAAUUUGAAUAUUCUCCAAACAUUGAUGACUUUUGAAUUUCUUUUGUCAAAAUUAGGAUACAAUCCAAUUGAACAAAAGGAGAACUGCCAGCGAUCAUGCGGUAACAUCAGUGUCCCAUUCCCUUUUGGCAUUGAAGAAGGUUGUUUUGCAAGAAAGCUAUUUCAGCUCAACUGCACAAAUGCAACGUCUUCCAGUCUCCAGUUUGAUGACAAACAUCUGGUGACAUAUAUAGAUAUCAAUGAGGGGCUUGUGGGCAUUAAGUACACCUUAAUUUACGAACAGGAGAUGUUUAGGGUGUAUGUAUCUAAGGAACCUGGACUCUACAUUAGUUCAGGGGAAUCGUCCUCUGUGCAAUGGGCUGUUGCCAAUCUGACCUGCCAGGAGGCAAUGCAGAACAAGUCGGGAUAUGCAUGUGUAAGCAUCAGUAGCACAUGUUUGGGUGUCAACUCAACAGAUGGUUACAUUGGUUAUCGAUGCCAAUGUCUGCACGGAUUUCAGGGGAAUCCAUACAUACACAAUGGCUGCCAAGGUCUCCCUCCCCCCCUCCCUCCUCUCCGCCUUACCCUUUUUGCAAUCCUACUGUUUGGUUGAAAACUGAUUGCAUUCUGGAGAGUACACACAUGAAACAAGCACGCACCACAAAUACAUUUGAUGCUUUUGAGAUCCUAACCACAUUGGUUCAACAAGGGAUUGCAUUUUGGAGAUUACUUAUAACUAAAACAGCAGUGGGUGAUUUGUUUGUCUAUUAAUUGUUGUAAUUGUAAGGCACCUCUUUCUACUCUGUUUCGUCUAAUAUAUAAGCACUAGGGGGUAACCCCUCCUGCCAUACCCCAAAAAAGAACAACUAAAACAGCAGGGAGCGAUAGAGAUACUCCAGUUCAGUUUCAGUUGUCAACAACAGAUACAUAUAUGUUUUCGAUCUAUGAAAUUUUAUGCUCUAAGUUGUAAUUCAGAUAUUUUCUAGUGGCUAGUUUUAUAUUGUUUAAAUGGAAACUAUGGUUUAUGCUGCAUAAAUUAACCAAUUCUGACAUCCAUACCUGAAAAAUACAUAACCCUUCUGAAGAGAUUAUAAUCAACACUCUCUGAUUACAAACCAGAACUUUGAAUCUUUUAGGCUCUCUACUGUCCAGAGAGCAGAGUGCUCCUCUGUAUUCUGAUUUUUGGCAGUGAACAACAAUGUCUGGAAACCAUAACAGGCUACACAUUUUUUUCAAAAACAUAACAGGCAACACAUAGAUAGCACUAACCAGAGUACCAGACUAAAGUCAAUAGACUGGUGACCAUAACUUUAAAUAUUAACAGGUGAUUAAUGUCUUUGCCACAUUAUGGUGUUCUCAUCUUGUUGCGUUACUGUUAGAAUGUAUGCGCGUAUAUAAGGGGCUGGGCCAGGUAUAGCCGGCUGGCCCUCUCUGUUUUGGUUAGAGAGAUAUGAGAUCUCGGUUUGGUCCUGUUUCUAUAAACCAUGAAAUCUCCUCAUCCCUAUAUAUAUGUACAUAGGUCUCUCAAUCAAUCUAAGCAUUAUUUCCACGCAAUCCCUAAUUCCCUAUUGCUUUCAGUUACUAGCUUUGAGUUAGGAUUUGCCUCAGCAUUUUAAAGACACAACUCUGUGAUAAAAACUGAAAUUCACUCGAUUACAGGUGAAAACAAAACUUUCCACAAAUCACAUUCUUGUAUAAAGAUGAUCUUAGUGCUCCAAUACGUGGGAUCUUCAAUAUCCUUCUUUGUUUUUCAAGAAUGAAAUCCAACAGUCAGAUUUUUCCAGAUUACAAUAUUGUUCUGGGAAUCUACCUAUAUCUGAUCUAAGCUCAGUUGGAAUAGAAAAUUCUAACUCUCUUCUACUCUCCAAUUAACAUGGACAUUUGCAGCUUUACCAAUUAAUGGAGCAAGUAUGAAAAAGCAAAAUCUUCUAUUAGGUGAGCUUUGUACAGUAGUAUUUGACAACUAACAAGGAGAAGAUAAAGCAGAACCAGACUAAGGAACAUAACUAUCGCAGGUAUUGUGAUUGGGCUUAGCAGUGGCUUCGGGAUUUUACUUCUCGGCUUAAGUGCAACAGUGCUUCUUCGCAAAUGGAAAAAGGACAUCCAAAAGCAACAACGAAAAAAAUAUUUUCAGAAAAAUAAAGGCCUUCUGUUGGAACAACUGAUAUCAUCCGAUGAAAAUGCAAGUGAAAAAACAAAGAUUUUCACUUUGGAAGACCUCGAAAAGGCAACAAACAAUUUUGAUCCGACACGGAUCCUUGGCCGUGGAGGGCAUGGCAUGGUGUAUAAGGGUAUCUUAUCUGACCAACGUGUGGUGGCAAUAAAAAGAUCUAAGGACACUGAGGAAAGUGAGAUCAGUCAAUUCAUUAAUGAGGUAGCAAUUCUCUCUCAAAUAAAUCAUCGAAAUAUAGUGAAGCUUUUUGGGUGUUGUCUUGAAACUGAGGUUCCCCUCUUGGUGUAUGACUUCAUUUCAAAUGGUUCAUUAUUCGAAAUUCUGCAUUCUAGUUCAAGCAGUGGUUUGUCUUUGUCAUGGGAUGACUGCCUAAGAAUUGCUGCAGAAGCUGCAGGAGCUCUCUAUUAUCUACACUCAGCAGCUUCAGUAUCAAUCUUCCAUCGAGAUGUGAAGUCCUCUAACAUACUCCUAGAUUCAAACUACACUGCAAAAGUUUCAGACUUUGGUGCUUCUAGAUCGGUUCCUAUUGACCAAACACAUGUUGUGACAAAUGUCCAAGGUACAUUUGGGUACUUAGACCCGGAGUAUUACCAUACUGGGCAGCUAAAUGAGAAGAGUGAUGUAUAUAGUUUCGGUGUUGUACUUGUGGAACUACUCCUGAGAAGGCAGCCUAUCCUUACAAGCGAUACAGGGUCAAAGCAGAACUUGUCUAAUUACUUUCUCUGGGAGCUGAAGACAAGGCCAAUAAAAGAGAUAGUGGCUACUCAGGUCUGGGAGGAAGCAACUGAGGAAGAGAUUAACAGCAUUGCAUCUCUUGCGAAGAUGUGUUUGAGACUCAACAGUGGGGAGAGACCUACCAUGAAGCAAAUCGAGAUGAACUUGCAGUUCUUGAGAACAAAAAGGUCAGAGUCAUGCCGUGUUGAUCAAGAUAAUGCUGAAGAGAUACAACCAUUGCUUUGUACAAGAGCUGAAUCUAGAUAUGAGACGUUUUCCAUUAGCUUGGGUGGAAGUUCUAAUUCAGAUUCUCAGUACAGCCAAAGAAUCAAUAGCUUGGAGCAUGAUUUUGAACCAUCUCUUGGGGUGCCACGCUAAGGGCCUCUUUGAAGUGUCAGAAUCCCACCAGAGCAUCAAGAGGACAAGAAGUUUUUAUGGGGUGGAUAUCUGCAAGUCCUACCAAAAAUACUGUGUUGAGCAUGAACAUCUUAAGGUCAUCCAUAUUUCUAUCUGCGGAAGAUGAUGAACUGUCCUUUACUCUCUUGUUUUCUACAUUAUCAUACAUAAGUAUGUUGUACUUAUUUCCCUGCAAAUUGGACUUACUCUUAUCUAUUGUUUUGUACCUUGAUUCUCUUAUCUAUUGUUUGUACUUGGAUCCUUGCGGUCCAUACUCCAUACAAUGAUACAAUGGAUAUACAUGUUUAAAUUUUUAUAUCAUCUUGGAUAAAUUAAGUUAUUUAUGUAUAGUGUAUUUAGGUACAAAAAUUCAUAGAACAGAACAAACACAACAUUUGUUUCUCCUCUGUUUUUCAGAUUCCUCAUGAAACAAUGUCUCUUGGAAAAUUGACAACAUGCCAGCAUUUUUACUGGGCACUAGAUUUCUGUAGCCCAUGAAAAGUUCCCCCAAGCAGGAGACUAUACAUGUUCUAUGCUAUUAAUUUGUUAUCGCCGUUCUUGUUAAAAAAAAUAUAUAUGUUAUCAGUUAUCACCCUUCACCCAUGAUGCACAUUUGUAACCACAUUUUCUACACCAUGAUACAUCAUUAUUAUCCUAUUUGAGGCAGAGAAUCAGGGAUGAUCAUACCUAUACCCGAGCCAUGAAGAGAAGGAAAGGCGCAUGCCCAAGGGCCAUGGCCACAUCACACCAUACAGAUGCAGAUUAGCAGAUGCAACCCGUGGACGAUGGUGGCGUUCAGUCACCUCCCCGCAUGACUGAAGAGUUUAAUCUGCAACUUCGCCACCAGAGAGCGACAAACCAACACAUAUUCGUUCUAAGAAAACGACGCACUCUCGAAGACGACCUACCGACCAAAAUGGGGAGCAGCUCGGCAGGGGGCAGCGGCCUGCACUGUGCCGGCGGCGGGCGUGGAGA
rnacentral:lncRNA from 1 species